rnacentral:rRNA from 1 species
CGUUCCCGGGCCUUGUACACACCGCCCGUCACACCACGAGAGUUUGUAACACCCGAAGUCGGUGGAGUAACCGUAAGGAGUUAGCCGCCUAAGGUGGGACAGAUGAUUGGGGUG